rnacentral:rRNA from 1 species
GAUGAACGCUGGCGGCGUGCCUAAUACAUGCAAGUCGAGCGAACAGACGAGAGUGUUUGUACUCUCUCGUUUUCGCCGGGCACGGGUGUAUAACAUGUGGGUAAUCUCUCUAUAACUCUGGUAUCUCUUCGGAAACCCGGCUCUAAUCCCGUAUUAUAUUUAGCUUCGUAUUUAACUAUAGUAAGACACUUUUCUUGUCUCUCUUAUAUAUGUACCCGCGGUGUAUUAGCUUGUUGGUGAGGUAACGGUUCACCAAGGCAACGAUACAUAGCCGACCUGAGAGGGUGAUCGGCCACACUGGAACUGAGACACGGCCCAGACUCCUACGGGAGGCAGCAGUAGGGAAUCUUCCGCAAUGGACGAAAGACUGACGGAGCAAAGCCGCGUGAGUGAAGAAGGUAUUCGGAUCGUAAAACUCUGUUAUAAGGGAAGAACAAAUAUGUAAGUAACUAAGCAUAUCUUGACGGUACCUAACCAGAAAGCCACGGCUAACUACGUG